rnacentral:rRNA from 1 species
GACGAACGCUGGCGGCGUGCCUAAUACAUGCAAGUCGAACGAGAGCAACCGGUGCUUGCACUGGUCAAUCUAGUGGCGAACGGGUGAGUAACACGUGGGUAACCUGCCCAUCAGAGGGGGAUAACAUCCGGAAACGGAUGCUAAAACCGCAUAGGUCUUCGAGCCGCAUGGUUUGAAGAGGAAAAGAGGCGCAAGCUUCUGCUGAUGGAUGGACCCGCGGUGCAUUAGCUAGUUGGUGAGGUAACGGCUCACCAAGGCCGUGAUGCAUAGCCGACCUGAGAGGGUGAUCGGCCACAUUGGGACUGAGACACGGCCCAAACUCCUACGGGAGGCAGCAGUAGGGAAUCUUCCGCAAUGGACGCAAGUCUGACGGAGCAACGCCGCGUGAGUGAAGAAGGUUUUCGGAUCGUAAAACUCUGUUGUUAGAGAAGAACAAGUGCUAGAGUAACUGUUAGCGCCUUGACGGUAUCUAACCAGAAAGCCACGGCUAACUACGUG